UACUUUGACUUACACUCCAGAGAGGGAGC
rnacentral:piRNA from 1 species